ACACCGCAGUCACUCGGCGCCUCCUCUCUCUCUCGCAGCCAAAACCACGGCCCCGUCAGUCUUCCCCCUGGUGCCCGGCAACAAGGGCACAUCCGGCUCCACGGUGGCCCUGGGCUGCCUGGUCAAGAACUACUUCCCCGAGCCGGUGAAGGUGACGUGGAACUCGGGCUCCCUGACCAGCGGCGUGCACACCUUCCCGGCCGCCCGGCUGUCCUCGGGGCUCUACUCCCUCAGCAGCAUGGUGACCGUGCCCGCCAGCAGCUGGCCCAGCCAGACCUACACCUGCAACGUAGCCCACCCGGCCAGCAGCACCAAGGUGGACAAGACCGUUGGAUCCCCGUCCACCACCUGCAAGCAAUCUUGCCCACCUUGUGAAGUCCUGGGGGGCCCGUCCGUCUUCAUCUUCCCCCCGAAGCCCAAGGACACCCUCAUGAUCUCGCUGACCCCCAAGGUCACGUGCGUGGUGGUGGACGUCAGCCAGGACGAGCCUGAUGUCCAGUUCACCUGGUACGUGGACAACGCGGAGGUGCGCACGGCCCAGACGCAGCCGCGGGAGGAGCAGCACAACAGCACGUACCGCGUGGUCAGUGUCCUCCCCAUCCUGCACCAGGACUGGCUGAAGGGCAAGGAGUUCAAGUGCAAGGUCAACAACAAAGCCCUCCCAGCCCCGGUCCAGAAAACCAUCUCCAAAGCCAAAGGGCCGGUCCGCGAGCCGAAGGUGUACACCAUGCCCCCGCCGCGGGAGGAGUUGAACCAGAACCAGGUCAGCUUGACCUGCAUGGUCAAUGGCUUCUACCCCGAAGACAUCGUGGUCGAGUGGGAGAGCAACGGGCAGCCACAGAGCAACUACAAGACCACCCCGGCCGUGCUGGACUCGGACGGGUCCUUCUUCCUCUACAGCAAGCUCACCGUGGCCAAGAGCGCCUGGAACGGGGGGACCACCUACACCUGCUCCGUGAUGCACGAGGGCCUGCACAACCACUACACCCAGAAGUCCCUCUCCGUGUCUCCGGAGCUGCAGGCGGACGAGAGCUGUGCCGAGGCCCAGGACGGGGAGCUGGACGGGCUCUGGACAACCAUCGCCAUCUUCAUCACCCUCUUCCUGCUCAGCGUGUGCUACAGCGCCACCGUCACCCUCUUCAAGGUGAAGUGGAUCUUCUCCUCGGUGGUGGACCUGAAGCGGACGAUCGCCCCCGACUACAGGAACAUGAUUGGGCAGGGGGCCUAG